AGUGCGGUGCGAGCCGUCGCGCGAGGCGGUCACGGCUAGUCGGUGUCCGUCAGCUGGCAGUGUCGUUGUGACGUGUUUGCAGCGAGGCGUGUUUACACCUCGGCGCCUUUCCUCCGAAGUCAGUCAAGAGAGCGUGACUUAAACCAGCAACGGUCGUGAAAUAGCUGCCGUGGUAGCCUUCGACUGCAAGAAUAACCAUUACGGUAAGUUUUUGAAAUCUGGCAAUCGUCGCACUUGAAUGUUUAAUUAAAAUUUGUUCCCUCUUUUCUUGCUAUUUUUUUAGACUGUAAAUAUUACGCACAAGAUAUAGUACUCAAAAAGCAAGAUUGACUAAUAGCUUGCGCAAUGUUUAUAAAUCAAAACAUACAAAUAUUUGCAUUCAUGUAAUAGUAAUGCAAAUGGAUGUGUGUAUCUGGUCAUUAACUAACAGUAAUUUACAAAAAUUAAAGUAAAAUAAAAUUAUUAGAGUGCUAUAGUAAUAUCGCAGCUAGUUAAAAAAAAUGGUUAACUCCGUACAAGUUGAAAGAUGUAUCAACUUUUUUGUGGGUGUAUCACUAUAACACUAUUAUUUUGUUGAUUAUAUUCGCUUCACCCUUGACUCAACUGCCGAGUACACAUUCCACUGUGCUCAUUGGCCGAUUCCUUUUGAGUGUGUCGCACGUGAUUGGGCCAACGCCAUGCACCUGUAGGCAAACAAUUAAUGUGGUAUUGGUUCCCACUAUCUUAAAUGUCUUAAUGUUUUGCUGAAAAGUUAAUUUUGAGCUAUUCGUCCAAAAAGUUUAUCAUGAAAAUUACAUAAAUCAUAUCGGUCCAAGCUUUUAAUCGUACGUGGUUGUAAUCUGGUAUUCACUAACAGACUACACUAACGUUACGGCCAGGAGGAACUUACCGACUGUGUCACUCUGUCUUAGCAGGCCUCCACGAAUGUUGACUUCGAAAAGCCAGGUCCCGCGGCCAGCCAAGACGAAGUGUUAAUUACAGAAGCUGCGCUGGAAGCUGUAGCUAAAUAUUUGCUAGUCCUAUAUGGCAGGGAACGUGAUACCCCUUAAAGUAGUUGUGGAACCGAGUGAAUUACCCAUAGCCUCGUGCCUGUGAGUAAAUUACCCAUAGCCUCGUGCCUGUGAGUGAAUUACCCAUAACAUCAUGCCUGUGAGUGAAUUACCCAUAACAUCGUGACUCUGAGUGAAUUACCCAUAGCCUCGUGCCUCUGAGUGAAUUACCCAUAGCCUCGUGCCUCUGAGUGAAUUACCCAUAGCCUCGUGCCUCUGAGUGAAUUACCCAUAGCCUCGUGCCACUAUGCACUGACUUAUACGUGACACGGACAGGCUCUUGUCUUCUGCGCAUGAGGACGUCACUGGCUUGCAGACUGCCAUUGGAGCUGUCGACUGUGACACGUGUUCGCAGACUCGAAUUAAUCGAGUGCGCUGAAGUUAUUUGACGCGAAACUUAUUCAAAUGCACUAGUUAUUAAAUAUCGAACACUAUACGUGAUUUUACAUUCUAGAUAACGACACGCGUUUUCUACAGUUAUAUUGUUUUUAUGUUAUUGACUUAUAUUUUUGAUAAUAACACGAAACUUACAUAACUAUGUUAACAUUAAAACAACCAUUACCAAGCAAAUGAAAAUAAACUAACGAAUAAAACACAGUCUAAAUAAAACUACCAGGAAGUGUAAAUAAAUAUUCAAAAUUAAAAUGAUAUAAGAUACUAAAAGUGAUUUAA